rfam:Vibrio cholerae O1 biovar eltor str. N16961 chromosome II, complete sequence.
GUCACACUUUGGCAAACCCUUUGAAAAAAUGGGACGCAAAGCUUCCGGUCUGUCGGUCAAGAAAGCUCAUAAAGCCCUAUUACACCUAGGAUAGCGGGGUUACCAAU